rnacentral:lncRNA from 1 species
AAGCGCAGCGUGCAGCCUGGGUUCCCGCCCGCGCCUCUCCCGCCACACCUCCCUGCAAGCUGAGGGAGCCGGCUCCUGCCUUGGCCAGGCUAGAAAGGGGCUCCCACAGUGCAGGGGCGGGCUGAAGGGCUCCUCAAGUGCCACCAAAGUGGGAGCCCAGGCAGAGGAGGUGCCGAGAGCGAGCGAGGGCUGCGAGGACUGCCAGCAGCUGUCACCUCUCGUUACCAUCACUCCUAGUGACCAUUUCGGAUAAUCCACCUUGCCUCAUCAAACCAGAAAACAAUUCAAACCUGGCCUCCUUCUAACUGGAAGCCACAUUUUAAGAACUUAUUGUGAAGAACUGGAAAGCCUCCAAUAGAACAGAAGCUAAAAGCAGAAAUUAUAAAAGCUGUUACACCUACUCAGCUCUAUUACAUGUUGGAAAAACUGAACCAGAGAAACAAUUACAUACACUCUUGUCUUCUGGAAAAGCUGAAUUGGGUUUUGGUCUGAAUCAAUAGGAAACAGAAAAAAAAAAGAGAGAGAGACAGAGAGUAAAGAUAAUGGAUCCUUGAGGAAUCACCACACUGUCUUCCACAAUGGUUGAACUAGUUUACAGUCCCACCAACAGUGUAAAAGUAAGAACCAGAGAUUUUUUAAAUAAACUUUUGUUUUUACAUUGGAAUAA